UACGUAGGGUGCAAGCGUUGUCCGGAAUUAUUGGGCGUAAAUAGCUCGUAGGCGGUUUGUCGCGUCUGCUGUGAAAACUCGGGGCUUAACCCUGGGCCUGCAGUGGGUACGGGCAGACUAGAGUGCGGUAGGGGAGACUGGAAUUCCUGGUGUAGCGGUGAAAUGCGCAGAUAUCAGGAGGAACACCGGUGGCGAAGGCGGGUCUCUGGGCCGUAACUGACGCUGAGGAGCGAAAGCGUGGGGAGCGAACAGG
rnacentral:rRNA from 1 species